rnacentral:lncRNA from 1 species
CUGCAUGUUCGACACGUGUAACUGUGAGAAGAGCGAGGACUGCCUGUGCGCGGCCCUGUCCUCCUACGUGCACGCCUGUGCCUCCAAGGGGGUGCUGCUCUGUGGCUGGAGGGACGGCGUGUGCACGAAGUCCAUGACCACCUGCCCCAAGUCGCUGACCUACCGCUACCACAUCAGCACCUGCCAGCCCACCUGCCGGGCCCGGAGUCACGAGGAUGUCACCUGUGGCAUCAGCUUUGUCCCCGUGGACGGCUGCACCUGCCCCCGUGGCACCUUCAUGGACGAUGCGGGCAAGUGUGUGCCAGCCACCAGCUGUCCCUGCUACUACGGGGGCUCCGUGGUCCCCAACGGGGAGUCACUGCAUGAGCGUGGAGUCAUCUGGUAAGAGCCCUGGCCGGAUGGGCCUGGUGGGGAGGGCGGCCAGCAUGGGGGACCCUCUGACCACCCUCUCGUCCCAGCACCUGCACCCAAGGCACGCUGACCUGCAUCGGAGGCCAGGUUCCCACCCCAGGUGAGUCCGCAGCGAGGGAGGGGCUCUCAUGCACACUGUGGACACAUGCGUGCACACACGCGCUCACACACGCACCCCGCUGGCCGUGCCCCAGGCGGGUGGCACAGACUUGGCUGCUGGGACACACGGUGUGCAGCUGUGUCUCUCAGAGCCAGCCCGGCGGGUGGUGGCUGGGGGCCCUGAAUGGUGCCUGCCUCCCCAGUCUGCACCCCGCCCAUGGUCUACCUGGACUGUCGCAAUGCCACGCCGGGGACCGCUGGGGCCGGCUGCCAGAAGAGCUGCUUCACCCUGGACAUGGACUGCUACAGCUCCCAGUGUGAGCCUGGCUGCGUGUGUCCCGACGGGCUGGUGGCUGACGGCGAGGGCCGCUGCAUUGCCGCAGCAGACUGCCCCUGUGUGCACAACGAGGCCAGCUACCUGCCCGGCCAGACCGUCCGGGUGGGCUGCAACACCUGCACCUGUAAGAACAGGAUGUGGCAGUGCACAGACGAGGCCUGCCUGGCCACCUGCGCCGUGUACGGGGACGGCCACUACCUCACCUUCGACGGCAGGCGCUUCAGCUUCAGUGG